rnacentral:rRNA from 1 species
UACGUAGGGUGCAAGCGUUGUCCGGAAUUAUUGGGCGUAAAGAGCUCGUAGGCGGUCUGUCGCGUCUGCUGUGAAAACUCGGGGCUUAACCCCGGGCCUGCAGUGGGUACGGGCAGACUAGAGUGCGGUAGGGGAGACUGGAAUUCCUGGUGUAGCGGUGAAAUGCGCAGAUAUCAGGAGGAACACCGAUGGCGAAGGCAGGUCUCUGGGCCAUAACUGACGCUGAGAAGCGAAAGCAUGGGGAGCGAACAGG